rnacentral:rRNA from 1 species
AACGAACGCUGGCGGCAUGCCUAACACAUGCAAGUCGAACGAGCCCUUCGGGGUUAGUGGCGCACGGGUGCGUAACGCGUGGGAAUCUGCCCUUGGGUUCGGAACAACAGUGAGAAAUUACUGCUAAUACCGGAUGAUGUCUUCGGACCAAAGAUUUAUCGCCCAAGGAUGAGCCCGCGUAGGAUUAGCUAGUUGGUGGGGUAAUGGCCUACCAAGGCGACGAUCCUUAGCUGGUCUGAGAGGAUGAUCAGCCACACUGGGACUGAGACACGGCCCAGACUCCUACGGGAGGCAGCAGUGGGGAAUAUUGGACAAUGGGCGAAAGCCUGAUCCAGCAAUGCCGCGUGAGUGAUGAAGGCCUUAGGGUUGUAAAGCUCUUUUACCCGGGAUGAUAAUGACAGUACCGGGAGAAUAAGCGCCGGCUAACUCCGUG